rnacentral:rRNA from 1 species
GAUGAACGCUAGCUACAGGCUUAACACAUGCAAGUCGAGGGGAAACGACAUCGAAAGCUUGCUUUUGAUGGGCGUCGACCGGCGCACGGGUGAGUAACGCGUAUCCAACCUGCCCAUCACUUGGGAAUAACCUUGCGAAAGUAAGACUAAUACCCAAUGACAUCCCACGAAGACAUCUGAAUGGGAUUAAAGAUUUAUCGGUGAUGGAUGGGGAUGCGUCUGAUUAGCUUGUUGGCGGGGUAACGGCCCACCAAGGCAACGAUCAGUAGGGGUUCUGAGAGGAAGGUCCCCCACAUUGGAACUGGGACACGGUCCAAACUCCUACGGGAGGCAGCAGUGAGGAAUAUUGGUCAAUGGGCGAGAGCCUGAACCAGCCAAGUAGCGUGCAGGAUGACGGCCCUAUGGGUUGUAAACUGCUUUUAGAAGGGAAUAAAGUGGGUCUCGUGAGACUUUUUGCAUGUACCUUAUGAAUAAGAACCGGCUAAUUCCGUG